rnacentral:rRNA from 1 species
AUUGAACGCUGGCGGCAGGCCUAACACAUGCAAGUCGAACGAGUGGCGGACGGGAGAGUAAUGUCUGGGAAACCGCCUGAUGGAGGGGGAUAACCACUGGAAACGGUAGCUAAUACCGCAUACUAUCAGAUGUGCCCAGAUGGGAUUAGCUAGUUGGGGUGGUAACGGCGCACCAGGGCGACGAGCCCUAGCUGGUGUGAGAGGAUGACCAGCCACACUGGAACUGAGACACGGACCAGACUCCUACGGGAGGCAGCAGUGGGGAAUAUUGCACAAUGGGCGCAAGCCUGAUGCAGCCAUGCCGCUUGUAUGAAGAAGGCCUUCGGGUUGUAAAGUACUUUCAGCGGGGAGGCGUUACCCGCAGAAGAAGCACCGGCUAACUCCGUGCCAGCAGCCGCGGUAAUAC